GAUGAACGCUGGCGGCGUGCUUAACACAUGCAAGUCGAACGGAAAGGCCUCUGCUUGCAGGGGUACUCGAGUGGCGAACGGGUGAGUAACACGUGGGUGAUCUGCCCUGCACUUCGGGAUAAGCCUGGGAAACUGGGUCUAAUACCGGAUAGGACAAUGGUUUGGAUGCCGUUGUGGAAAGUUUUUCGGUGUGGGAUGAGCUCGCGGCCUAUCAGCUUGUUGGUGGGGUAAUGGCCUACCAAGGCGUCGACGGGUAGCCGGCCUGAGAGGGUGUACGGCCACAUUGGGACUGAGAUACGGCCCAGACUCCUACGGGAGGCAGCAGUGGGGAAUAUUGCACAAUGGGCGCAAGCCUGAUGCAGCGACGCCGCGUGGGGGAUGACGGCCUUCGGGUUGUAAACUCCUUUCGCUAGGGACGGAGCGCAAGUGACGGUACCUGGAGAAGAAGCACCGGCUAACUACGUG
rnacentral:rRNA from 1 species